rnacentral:rRNA from 1 species
GAUGAACGCUGGCGGCGUGCCUAACACAUGCAAGUCGAACGGACAGACGCUGCGCUUGUUCCUUUGACGUUAGCGGCAGGCGUGUGAGUAACGCGUGUAUCAUCUACUUAUCUUUCUGGGAUCAUUACGGGAAACCGGCUCUAAUACCAGAUAAUAUAUUGCACCGUAUGGUUCAAUGGAUAAUGACGGCUUUGGUGUAUCUACUCGCUGCUUUCGGGCUGGAUUAGCUAGUUGGUAAGGUAACGGCUUACCAAGGCGACGAUGCGUAGCCGAACUGAGAGGAGGAUAGGCCACACGGGAACUGAGACACGGUCAAGACUACUACGGGAGGCAGCAGUAGGGAAUGUGACGCAAUGGGCGAAAGCCUGACGGAGCAAGGGCGCGUGUGUGAUGAAGGCCUUCGGAUCGUAAAGACCUGUUAUUGGGGAAGAACAGCUGUGGAAGGAAACAUGGAGGUCGUGACGGUAACUAAUAAAAAAGCAACGGCUAACUACGUG